CUUAAGCGGUACCCUGACAGCUAAACAAAACGAGGCGCCAAAGACCCACGGCUCGACUGGCUGUGGGUAGUCAGACCCAGGACUAGGGCUGCCUGCGUGGCGGCCGAGAGCGGCAGGCCUCGGUGAGUGGGUCUAGUAUGGAAAGAGACGCGCGCUGUCACCUCACUGAAUCCAAUCACGGGCGCCCGGCCUCCUCGCGCGCCUCUCAGCGCAGUUUCCGUCGCGGUCCCCAGGCUGCACUUGCCGCGCUGGUUCCCGCAGAUCCGCGGCCCUCCGCGCACACACCCGCUUCCCAGAGGUUCCACCCCGUCGUUCUCUGGACAGCUCCCCGGAGCGCUCCCUCAGUACUUGGUGCGGACCUCUUUCCUUGAACCCCUCCCUCUUUCUGUUCUGCAGGACUGUUCCGGGCCUUGGGAGCGGCCCGGGAGAACUGGUCUUUGGAAUCUCAGACUGGAAGACCAAUUCUCCAAUUGGUUUAGCCCCUGUCGCAUGCAUGCAUUGGGCAGGAGUGACAGAUAUAGGGAGGUGAGGUUGGGAGAGCUGGAGGUCAGCAAUAACGCUCCCAGGCUAAGGAACGCAGCUUGGGAAGCCAGGGGACAAUGAAACUGGAAGCUAAAUUGCGAAGGAGAGAAUGGAAGACCGGAAAGUUUCAAAAACCUUCUACCUUGGAAAGGUGACAGGGAUACCUUCAACCCCUGCUGCCUGUGUUCUGCUCUCUGGAGCACACAGACGAGCAGACAGCACUGGAGGAAGGGGAGGAGGUCUGUUUCUUGUGCUGGAGAAGGAGGAUAAGAGUGUUCCGAGGCUCUGGACAGUGGAAGUGAUCCGGACACACACUCGGUGAAGGGUCUGUGGAACAUGUAGAACCAAGAAACGUUUGUGACCCACCACCUCCCCCAUGGUUUUCAUCUGCUGAGGAUACCUGCUAUGGAGCAGUUUCUUUACACUUCCGUGGCCUUUGUAGAAAAUGGGGCUUCUGGAGAUUGGUGGGUCAGGAGUCCAGGCAAGUGACUGGGUUUUUGACUUGCUGCUUGAAGGAGCUUCAAGGGAGGAAGCAAAAGUGAUUGCAGGUUUUUGUGCAGGGACCGUGAGGCACAGCCUAUUUGGCAAAGACCACAGAGGGACCUGGAUGGAAUACAUGUGGGUUCCCAGAGCCUAACUCACCACCUCUCCAUCCCUGGGCUCACUCACCUGCCCUGUCAUAAUGGCAUAAUGCCUUGGACUGGGACUUAUGCUAGGAAAUGUGUCCCCGACCUCCUGAGCACUGCAGUCUGAGAGGAGACAGACAUCAGGAACAGAAGCUGAGGACUGAGCAUGGUUAGGACAGAAAGAGCCCCAUGGUAGUCCAGAGGAGAGGGUACCCAUGGAUGCAUGGAUGGGGUUGCCUGAGGUACACUUCCAGAAGUGGGGUACCAGAGGAGCAAGGGAGACUGCAGCCUCAGUUCUGGCUCUUCUACCUGAGCAAGUGAUGGCACAUCUUUGGCAGGUGUCUGGAUUCUGGCUGAAGAGACAGUGCAGAGGUGUCCUGGACAGAUUCUGUACCUUUCUGGCUCUAGGCGCUUUACUGCUAGACACUGGUGUUGGCUUCUGUGUGCUUGUACUGACCUCCAGGCACAAACUGAACCCCCCAGGUAUGACAUAUUCUAAGAUCCCUCUUAGACCCAUCCAGGUCCCAGCAAUUGUCAUCCCAUUCAUGGUGACCUCCUUGCAGUACUUUGCUUUCCCCAUGGCUGGGCCACACUCCCACCUCAGGCUGCUUUUGUUGUCCCUCCCAAGUCUACAGUGGGAUCUGCACUUCUGUCUGGGUAAAGUGACAAAUAGAUUGCCUCCUGUGCAGUGUCUCACUAAGCAUUUGUUCACUCUGGAGAGUGUGUCCUUGAUUUUAAGUGGAAGUCCUUGUAUGGCUGGUCCUCCCUCAUAAUCCUCCCUUGUCCCUUCUCUUCUCCAGGGCUAGCAUUCUCAGGAUGGCACCUCUGUCUCCUGCCAAUAAACACACCCUGUGCUUCCUGCCUGGAUCACUCUCAACAUUGUUCCUGCCACAGGAACACUCACUCAUGCCUACUUACUCCUCCAGAGCCUCCACUAACUCCUUUGGUCUUUUGGUCCCUGGAUCCCCAGCAGGGUCUAGCUUCAAGACUGCAGAAUUUGCCAUAGGGGACUCCUCCUGACAGCCAAGGUAAUGUUCUACAAUGCACCAGGCAGUGGAGUGGCAUCUGUUGGCUGUGCUUUCAGCCUAGGGCUUUGAAACUUGGAAACAGUUUUAUUUCCCUCUUCUCAGCCCUAAUCAGUGCACGUUACUGAAAGGGCUGCUGUUGAUACACAGGUAAGCAGCCUCUGCUCAUGCUGGUCAGAAAGUUCUAGUAAGAUGGUUUUGUUACUGUUUGUUCUUUUCCCUUUGGUGAGACAGGCAAGGUCUCCCUGUGAAGCUCAGGGUGGCCUGGAUCUAGCUUCCCACUCAACAUCUAUGUGCCCGGAUUCCAGGCACGUGCCACCUCACUGACUUACAGUGUCUUCUUGGGCUGCAGGGCUUCUCGGAGCUUCGGAUACACGGACCUCAGUGUGGGCUCCCAACAAUGUUGCAACCAACAUCCCAGGAAAGAAGGUGAGGUUGUGGACUUGAACAUGCACACUGCAGUCCUUGGGCUAAGAACAUGGAUUAAAGGUGUACUCUAACGCCAUUUGGUAGUUUUUACUUUAAUACAGAAGGAGAUUCGUGUUUGUUACUGGUUUCAUAUUAUUUAGAUUCCUGGUCUCAAAUGUAAAGACUUCUCUGACCUACUCUUCAGACGUGGGAUGGAGGAGUAACCCUCUGUUGCCCUCCAAGGCACAAUUUGGGGUGACAUUCUUGAAAUCAGAGCAGAUGUGGGCACCCACAGGAAUUCCUCACAAUAUUAAAUCUACAUCCAGGGCAGAAGUAUGAGGGGUGAUCAGACCUGGGAGCCCAGCCACUCACUCUCAUCACCCACCCCAUGUAGUCCUGCCUCAACUAUAUAUAUGUUGUAGAGAAAAUCUCUUCUGUACUGUAUGGAUACAGCACCUGUCAGUAAAACAGAUUGGCCUAUAAGCUUAGGCAGGAAAUCAAAGGUGGGACAUCCAGUAGGGAGACUGAAUUCUGGGAGAGAGCAAGGUGGGGAGGAGCCCAGGAACAUGAAGAGGUCAGAAGCAUGGGAGCUGAACAGAGGUAACCAGCUAUGUGUUAGAAUUUAGAUUAGAAUAAAUGGGAUAUUAAGAAACAGUGAAAGCUCAUGGCCUAGGUAUGUGUAAAUAUAUUUGAGUCUCAGUGUUGUUAUCCUGGGAGUUUGGGGCCAGGAGGAAAAACAUGGCUUUUAUAGGAUGUUUUCUUAAGAGGUGCUGUGGUUUACAGGAUGUAGAAAGUUAACUGAAGAGGCCAGCAGCCAUCCUGUGUUGCAAGGGUAGCUCAUGAUCCUGUUAGUAUUAUAAUCUGUCCCUGCCCCCAUAGCGGGAGCCAUUUUGUUCCACGCCCACCAGUCACUGGCUCAAGGACAUGCUGGCCACAUUCCCUGUUUUGUUCUGUAGGUUUUGAAUGUUCUGUAUGAGGUUUGCUAAUCUUAAGA